rnacentral:snoRNA from 1 species
CAUCCCUGGCUAUGGGCAAAGAGACACCUGAUUGGUGGUGAUGCUCUUAUAUCAGUCAGGGACAGAGCCAACUUGAAGUCCUUUGUUCAUCCUAGCUUGAUGCCAGAUUGUGGCCAGAGCUGUUUCAUGCCUAGGGCACAUUU